rnacentral:rRNA from 1 species
AUCGAACGCUGGCGGCAUGCCUUACACAUGCAAGUCGAACGGCAGCACGGGGGCAACCCUGGUGGCGAGUGGCGAACGGGUGAGUAAUACAUCGGAACGUGUCCUGUAGUGGGGGAUAGCCCGGCGAAAGCCGGAUUAAUACCGCAUACGAUCUACGGAGGAAAGCGGGGGAUCUUCGGACCUCGCGCUGCAGGGGCGGCCGAUGGCAGAUUAGCUAGUUGGUGGGGUAAAGGCCUACCAAGGCGACGAUCUGUAGCUGGUCUGAGAGGACGGCCAGCCACACUGGGACUGAGACACGGCCCAGACUCCUACGGGAGGCAGCAGUGGGGAAGUUUGGACAAUGGGGGCAACCCUGAUCCAGCAAUGCCGCGUGUGUGAAGAAGGCCUUCGGGUUGUAAAGCACUUUUGUCCGGAAAGAAAACUUCGUCCCUAAUAUGGAUGGAGGAUGACGGUACCGGAAGAAUAAGCACCGGCUAACUACGUGCCAGCCGCCGCGGUAACAC